CUCAUUUGCAAACUGACAUACUCAGACUUUGCAUUCCAAGAAAAUGUGUCUGCUGAACAAAACCUGUAAGUUCAACCUCUAUUAACUCCAAAGAAGAUGGAGCUGUAGUGGAGAACCUUAUACUUAAAACAGGUGUCUAAAACCUGUAUGGAUCCACUGUCUGGGAGCCUCCAAACUGAGUUUCCUGCCUUUUGGGGUCCUUGCCAUCAACCAACUCCACCCCUGGAACACUGUCUUUCCUGCCUGACCGUGGAUGAUGCCACGCUUUCCUGGUUCUCCCCUUGAAUUAUCUUAUCACCACAUUGUCUGAUCCACAGAGACACCUCAGCUGAUGGGCAUCAAGGUCUCAGUAGCUUGAGAGUCAAUCACUCCCCCCUGCCUGGACCACUUGCAUCUUGUAGGCCGCCCCCCACGGCCAGACACCCCUGCUUUUCCUCCUACCUCAUUCGCACCAAACUAGCCUGAGUCUCGGCUGCCUCUCGGCGAGAUGACAGCAGCAGCUGCCCCCCUGCCCUCUCUGCUCCUGCCGUGGCCCCUCCCCAGACCACCUCCCACGCAGCAUCCAGCAAUGUCGCCAUCGGGUCAUCCUGCAUCCCUUCUCACGACACCAAAAUAAGUCCAAGUCAUAACCACAACCCCUUCAUGUCACAGAUGAGACAAAUAAUGUCCUGCCCAUUAAGUGACUUGCUCCAGGUCACGCAGCUGGCUAUCAGCAAGGAUGUGACUAGAAUCCAGGCUUCACUGCCCCACCGCAC